GAUCCUGGCUCAGGAUGAACGCUGGCGGCGUGCCUAACACAUGCAAGUCGAACGGGGUAAAUGAGAUGAAGUUUUCGGAUGGAUUCUUAUUUACCGAGUGGCGGACGGGUGAGUAACGCGUGGGUAACCUGCCUCAUACAGGGGGAUAACGGUUAGAAAUGACUGCUAAUACCGCAUAAGCGCACAGUACCGCAUGGUAUAGUGUGAAAAACUCCGGUGGUAUGAGAUGGACCCGCGUCUGAUUAG
rnacentral:rRNA from 1 species